CAGCAGCCGCGGUAACACCGAGGGUGCGAGCGUUAAUCGGAUUUACUGGGCGUAAAGCGUGCGUAGGCGGCUUCUUAAGUCGGAUGUGAAAUCCCUGAGCUUAACUUAGGAAUUGCAUUCGAUACUGGGAAGCUAGAGUAUGGGAGAGGAUGGUAGAAUUCCAGGUGUAGCGGUGAAAUGCGUAGAGAUCUGGAGGAAUACCGAUGGCGAAGGCAGCCAUCUGGCCUAAUACUGACGCUGAGGUACGAAAGCAUGGGGAGCAAACAGGAUUAGAGACCCCCGUAGUCCCUGUCUCUUAUAA
rnacentral:rRNA from 1 species